rnacentral:lncRNA from 1 species
GAUUGAUUGAUUGAUUGUUGGUUGCUUAACGUCCAGUGGCAAAUAUUUCAUGCAUAUUCAGGACGAGAACAAGUUCACAAUAAAUACAAUAUGUAGGUUGUUGUAAGAGAGGCCAUCUAGGAUGAUGGUCGGGGAAAUUUGGACUGCCACUGGAAAAUGAGGGUAUAUUGGAUAGGGACAGAAAUUUGCCUUGCAACAGGCCACCUACGGACCCCUCAAGAGUUGUUGCAAGGGUUCUUAACGUGCAAAGAGCGUGGCACUCUCUUUACACGAGGCAUCGGAUUUAACGUCCCCUUCUGACGGACGUGACUGCGAACUUGAUACAUCCCGCACAGCCAAACGGACGCCCCACUUCAGCAAGCGUUUUACUGCCGGUCGGGAGAAGACCAAGUGACCAUAUUUCUAUACCCCAGUCACCCUUGGGGUUAG